rnacentral:rRNA from 1 species
GGACUACUGGGGUAUCUAAUCCUGUUUGCUCCCCACGCUUUCGCGCCUCAGCGUCAGUCUCGGUCCAGAGCGCCGCCUUCGCCACCGGUGUUCUUCCCAAUAUCUACGAAUUUCACCUCUACACUGGGAAUUCCACGCUCCUCUCCCGAACUCCAGCGGGCCAGUCUCGAGCGCACCUCCCAGGUUGAGCCCGGGGCUUUCACACUCGACUUGGGCCGCCGCCUACGCGCCCUUUACGCCCAGUAAAUCCGAACAACGCUCGCCCCCUUCGUAUUACCGCGGCUGCUGGCAC